rfam:Brachypodium distachyon strain Bd21 chromosome 1, whole genome shotgun sequence.
UAUGUACUCCCUUCCUCGGUCCAACAAAAAAUAUCUCAAAUUUUAUCAAAUUUGAAUGCAUCUAUAUACUAAGUCAUGUCUAAAUACAUUUAAAUUUUGACAAACUUGAGACAUCUUUUGUUGGACGGAGGGAGUAGCAA